CCUACGGGAGGCAGCAGUGGGGAAUUUUGGACAAUGGGCGCAAGCCUGAUCCAGCAAUGCCGCGUGAGUGAAGAAGGCCUUCGGGUUGUAAAGCUCUUUUGUCAGGGAAGAAACGGCUGAGGUUAAUACCUUCGGCUAAUGACGGUACCUGAAGAAUAAGCACCGGCUAACUACGUGCCAGCAGCCGCGGUAAUACGUAGGGUGCAAGCGUUAAUCGGAAUUACUGGGCGUAAAGCGUGCGCAGGCGGUUUUGUAAGUCUGACGUGAAAUCCCCGGGCUCAACCUGGGAAUUGCGUUGGAGACUGCAAGGCUGGAGUCUGGCAGAGGGGGGUAGAAUUCCACGUGUAGCAGUGAAAUGCGUAGAGAUGUGGAGGAACACCGAUGGCGAAGGCAGCCCCCUGGGUCAAGACUGACGCUCAUGCACGAAAGCGUGGGGAGCAAACAGGAUUAGAUACCCUGGUAGUCCACGCCCUAAACGAUGUCUACUAGUUGUCGGGUCUUAAUUGACUUGGUAACGCAGCUAACGCGUGAAGUAGACCGCCUGGGGAGUACGGUCGCAAGAUUAAAACUCAAAAGGAAUUGAACGGCGNGAGACGNGACGAGACGACGACGAGGAGAGG
rnacentral:rRNA from 1 species